GGCGACGUAGCCAAGUGGCAAGGUGGCGCUCUACAAAAGCGUUUUUCGUCGGUUCGAUUCCGACCGUCGCCU
rnacentral:tRNA from 1 species